CAGGAAUCGAACCCAGGUCUCUCUCAUUGUAGGUGGAUUCUUUACCAGCUGAGCCACGAGGGAAGCCCAAAAAUACUGAAGUGGGUAGCCGUCCAAAAUUCAGUCAGAAAAGGAAUGAAGCUGGGCAUUCACCUCUGGGAACCUGAGCCCCAGGUAAGAGUCUGGCUAUGGUGAAGCCACCAUUUUGGGAGAAAGUUCAAGCCCCACAGAGAUGCCGUGUGUAUGCUCUCUGACCAGCAGCCCCAGGUGAGGUCGUGGUCAGCAACCAGCACCAUGUGAAGGAACCAAAUGGCGGUCACCUUCAGAGGACUCCAGCCAUCUGGUUACCUUCGGUUGUCACCUGAGGCUCUGAGGCCUCAGAUGUUAACAGGGUUGAGGCAAGCCAGUCUCCUGUGCUCUAUCCACAUUCUGGACCAGAGAACUAUGAAUAUAGGAAGUUGGAUGUAUGCUACUAAGUUGGGGUGACUUGUUAUACAACAACAGAAACUACACGAGUGGCCAAGGAAAGUGUCCUGAAAGCUGGGUUAACCACCCCUCUUCCCCUUUCAUGAAUGCUGCCAGGAAGUGAGAUGCCAUUAGUCCUUUGGAGAGUUAGUCUCUCUUUAACAGAUAAUGACCCAGGCUCGGGGCCAUGGGAGCUGCCUCCUACAGGGUAGCUUUACUGAGAGCCCUCACAGCCCAGGGAACCAAAGUCAGCAGACCCUGCCAGGCAGAAAUGGCCUGCAUCUUCCCAGGCUCAAGGAAGGCACUGGCAGCUGAGAGCUGGCCGUUCGCGCUGGCUGAGUUCCAGGGCUGGAUUUGCUGGCCUGUGCUCAGCAAUUCUGAGCAUGAUGCAUGAAUGGAGCUCAAGUCGUGGGUUACUGCAGCAACCGAGGCCUCAGGAGAGGUGGGAGCAAAGCGCUGCCUUUGUGGAAAGACCAAAAAGCAACACUAAUCCAGCUACGUGGGACAUGACUCCAGGCUGCUUUGUGAGGAGUGGAGAUCAUUAUGGCAGAAUUCCAACCUCUGUUGUUUCAAAAGAAUCAAGUCAGCAGAGGCCUGGCCAGAAGUUCCUUCCACUCCUUAGUCCUGAGCAUCUAGACAGGGCAAACCAACGAGGGAUUACCACCGUCUUCUAACUCCCAAGUGCCCAUGGUGGCACCUGGCACAAGCAGCUAUCUCCCCAGGACUGUGCCUAUCCUCGUGGAGCUACACUGCCUUCCUCAGAAACCACUUCUCCCCCUGUUGUGCAAACAAGAAAACUGAAGCCCACAGAACUUUAUAUGACAAAAAUCGCAGCAACAUCUUUCUGGAUCCAUCUCCUAGAGUAAUGGAAAUAAAAACAAAAAUAAACAAAUGAGACCUAAUUAA
rnacentral:lncRNA from 1 species